UACGUAGGGACCAAGCGUUGUUCGGAUUUACUGGGCGUAAAGGGCGCGUAGGCGGCAAUUCAAGUCAUCUGUGAAAUCUCCGGGCUUAACCCGGAACGGUCAGAUGAUACUGCUUGCUAGAGUGCGGAAGGGCAAUCGGAAUUCUUGGUGUAGCGGUGAAUGCGUAGAUAUCAAGAGGAACACCUGAGGUGAAGACGGGUUGCUGGGCCGACACUGACGCUGAUAGCGCGAAAGCCAGGGAGCAAACGGG
rnacentral:rRNA from 1 species